CCCAGACUCCUACGGGAGGCAGCAGUGGGGGAUAUUGCACAAUGGGGGGAACCCUGAUGCAGCGACGCCGCGUGGGUGAAGAAGCGCCUCGGCGCGUAAAGCCCUUUCAGCAGGGAAGAAAAUGACGGUACCUGAAGAAGAAGCCCCGGCUAACUACGUGCCAGCAGCCGCGGUAAUACGUAGGGGGCAAGCGUUAUCCGGAUUUACUGGGUGUAAAGGGAGCGCAGGCGGCACGGCAAGCCUGAUGUGAAAGCCCGCGGCUCAACCGCGGGACUGCAUUGGGAACUACCGGGCUGGAGUGUCGGAGAGGUAGGCGGAAUUCCUAGUGUAGCGGUGAAAUGCGUAGAUAUUAGGAGGAACACCAGUGGCGAAGGCGGCCUACUGGACGGUGACUGACGCUGAGGCUCGAAAGCGUGGGGAGCAAACAGGAUUAGAUACCCGUGUA
rnacentral:rRNA from 1 species